ACAGAGAGUGCGAACGUUGUUCGGAAUUACUGGGCUUAAAGCGCACGUAGGCGGCAUCGUAAGUGUCCGGUGAAAUCCCACGGCUCACCCGUGGAACUGCCUGGCAGACUGCGAUGCUCGAGUAUGGUAGGGGAGAGCGGAACUCCUGGUGGAGCGGUGAAAUGCGUAGAUAUCAGGAGGAACACCGGUGGCGAAGGCGGCUCUCUGGUCCAUGUCUGACGCUGAGGUGCGAAAGCUAGGGGAGCAAACGGGA
rnacentral:rRNA from 1 species